rnacentral:rRNA from 1 species
GGCUCGAGGACGAACGCUGGCGGCGUGCUUAACACAUGCAAGUCGAACGGUAAGGCCCUUCGGGGUACACGAGUGGCGAACGGGUGAGUAACACGUGGGUGAUCUGCCCUGCACUUCGGGAUAAGCCUGGGAAACUGGGUCUAAUACCGGAUAGGACCAUGGACUUCACGGUUUGUGGUGGAAAGCUUUUGCGGUGUGGGAUGGGCCCGCGGCCUAUCAGCUUGUUGGUGGGGUAAUGGCCUACCAAGGCGACGACGGGUAGCCGGCCUGAGAGGGUGUCCGGCCACACUGGGACUGAGAUACGGCCCAGACUCCUACGGGAGGCAGCAGUGGGGAAUAUUGCACAAUGGGCGCAAGCCUGAUGCAGCGACGCCGCGUGAGGGAUGACGGCCUUCGGGUUGUAAACCUCUUUCAAUAGGGACGAAGCGCAAGUGACGGUACCUAUAGAAGAAGCACCGGCCAACUACGUG